CAUUAGAUGGCUGAAAGUAUAAGCAAUGGAAUUUUAAACCAUACCAUGGUAACUCACGACUACUUCUAAUGA
rnacentral:tRNA from 1 species